rnacentral:lncRNA from 1 species
UUCUUGGUAACAAAUCUAAAUAUGAAUGUACAUUUAUUCAGCAUGAAAAUGAGCCUUUUAUAAAAGUGGAUUUGUGCAACAAUUCUACCUACAACAAUAAGAAAAGCUUAUAAAACAAAUAUGGAUAUUAAGACACGAGUUUCAGACAGCAAACCAAUAAUAUAAAAAUAAGAACAUGAUGUAUGAUUAACCAAUGAGACACCGAAUGACAUAGAUGUAACAUAACCAUGUAGGGACCCCAUGAAUGACGUAGAUGUAACAUAACCAUGUAGGGACGCCAUGAAUGACAUAGAUGUAACAUAACCAUGUAGGGACGCCAUGAAUGACAUAGAUGUAACAUAACCAUGUAGGGACGCCAUGAAUGACAUAGAUGUAACAUAACCAUGUA